rnacentral:lncRNA from 1 species
GGAGACUUUGGUGGUGUCUCUAAACAAUUCAGCUCUAGAAGGAAAAAUGACUAUGCAUCUGGUCAAGGACAGUCUUCAUAAUGAGGAGACUAUGACGCCCCCAAAUCCGGGUUAUCUUUAACUCGGGUUUGGUGCUCACGAUUCUAGAAUACCCAUUCGUACUAAAAUAAAACUGUCUUAUAUUACAUAAACAUCGAACUUAAAAUCUCAGGUUCUAGAGACACCUUUACAUACAAUACAAACCAAAUAUUAAUACAACAUAGUACUAACAGUAUUUAUUACAUUUGCUUUUUAAGUUCAUUUAAGCACAGGCGCUUAAUAAAUAACUACUCAACAACUUUGCCUUUUCUUUUGUCUUUUCCAGAUGGACCAGCAACCUCAGUUUUAACUGAAAACAUUAUAUUUAACGCAAGGGUGAGCAACAAGUUUGCCCAGCAAAGAAAUAAGCAGCUAAAUAUAAUGGAACAAAAAUAUUACAGUAAUGAGGAUAUCAUACAGGAGGUAUAGAACAAAGUAAUUCUUAAGAGUGUUGAGUCAAAAGUUAGGAUUUAUCAUGCUGUAAGGUCAAAUGACCAGUGAACUCUAUACUAGAAUUUACAGUAAUAAUACUGCAAUCCAUGAAUACAAACAAUUAUAAAUGUUGUCGUAUAUCCUAGACUCGUACUUCAGGGAAUCAGCCUAAGUACCCUAUAUUGUGCACAACAUAACAGACUAAUAACACUUUACAUGUCCUUCGGAAUCAUAUGUCCGGUACAAUAUGCACCUAUAAAAGGGUAGUUCGUUCACAGCAUUAUAUAAGAAUCCAUACCACAAUAACAAAAUGGUUUGGAAAGCAUUAACUGAUAAAUUCAUGAACAAUAUCAAUAUAUUUCAACAUUUGUCUAACCGAAGUAAUGGUAUUGACAUACUUUCAAUAUAACUUUAUUCAAGAUAGAAAAGUUGAUAUACUAUUCUUUUGAAGCUGAUUGGAAUAAAAAGGCUAUUUAACCAUAUAUUCUUUUGAAGCUGAUUGGAAUAAAAAGGCUAUUUAACCUUAUAUUAUUCAUAAAUAAGGACAGACAGUUCAGAAAUUAAAGAACCUGUCCACUGCAGAAUAAUUUCCCAAUAAAGAGUAAGGGUUAGAAACUUGCCUUGUUUGUAGUCUAUUGCUUAGGAUUUCAGCUUAAUUUGAAGUGUUCUCACAAAAUCCUACACAGUUAUUUAUAUUAACAAGCAUGUUAAUCACAUAGCUAAGUUAUAUAGUUUGUAAGCUCACAUAGUUUCAGUGAUCAUGGUUGUUGCUAAAUUCUUAUUUUUGAUACAUUUUUCAAAUAUCUCAUCCAUGCUUCCAAGAGAUAAUUUUCACUUUGAUGGGUUUCAACAAGUUUUCAACAAGUAAUAGAAAGCACAUUACAGUUAUUAUUUAUUUUAACCAAGCAUGUUAACCAUAUAGCUAAGUCAGAUAUCAUGUAGUUUUAGUGAUCAUGGUUAGAUUUCCUAUAUUUGAUAUAUUUUUCAAAUAUCUCAUCCAUGCUUUUAUCACUACUAUUUUUCUCUAUAAUGGUGUCACACCCAACUUAUAUUGCUUACACCUUAUUAGGAUUUUAACACUUUAAUGGUGUUCAACAUGCUUAUCAAUUAAAAUUUUCUUAUUUCUAGCCACCUCGGUUCAUUCCAACAGUUGAACUUAGUUAGCUAUAUAAUUCAUAUAUGUUCACCUAUUACACUUGAAAUUAGUUCACAUUAGUUUCCACUAUGCCCAACAAGUCCAACACUGCAUUAGUAGUUAGCUGAGGUCACCUAUUAUAGCUAACUACUAGCAGCCCUAUGAUUUCCCCUUUUUUCCCAUCUUCAUUCUUAAUUUGUAAAUGUAUUAUUAAUUCUACAUAUAUGUUUUCAACACAUACUUAAGCUAUACCUAAUGAUUAGCUUCUUAGAAAUUUCUAUUUUCAACCAAUAUGGUUACCUAGAUUGUUUUAGCAGUCAAAAUAUAUCAACUGCUGCUGCUCAAAGGCAGCAGCCAUAAACAUCUUGGCCUUGCUUAGCUUAUAGCUUUCCUUUACAAUUUUAUCUUACUAACUGCAGCUAACAGAGAAUAAUAGGAAGCAUGCCCAGUUCAAUAUUCCACAGUCUUCUUGUUGCUUUUCUAUGCUAGCAGCCAAGCUUGGCUUGGCCUUGUGAGGCUCAGGCCCCUAAGUCAAACAUAAAGCUGCUAUUGCAGCUGCUAAUUUUGGCAACUGCUGCCACACUAGAGUAGCAGUUCGGCCAAUCUUCUUAAUCCAACUAUCUCAUUAAUAUUUUCUACGUAUGAAUGCACUGUGCCAACUGCUACUGUUGUCACUGCUAUUAAGGACAUCAGUCCUGUUUCCCCUAUUCAACUCUCCUUCUUGUAACUUUAUAACUUAUGUUAUGCAACUUUACUUAAGCUCAAGUUUUAGCAUAAUUUUUUUUAUAAUUUAGCAGUCUAUUAAUAAGAAUGUUAAGCCUUCUAAAUCAUGAUUUCCAAGUUACCUAAACUACCAGCAAUUUGCUGCUUUUUAUCACUGAUGUCCGUGAGCAGCAAUUUCCUCCCCUUCCUUGCUUAUUGGUCCAGCCAUUAACUCAUCCUAGCUGGCCCUGCAGCACAACAUAACACAGCAGCGUGCGCUGGCUGCUGCUAUCUGCAGCAGCCCAGCCAGUCCUCCCCCUUUCACAGAUCCUGUUUUAGCAAUUUGAAUAACCUUUGCUAUAUAGGUUUAUUUGCAACCAAUUUUAGAUAUAUUACAUAUGGUAUAUGAAAAUGUUUUUAGCAUUUAUAACACCUCCAUUUCAGUCUUAAUAGGCUGCCCAAAACAGUGCUCGACAUGCUAAUUUUAUUAAUUCUUCUUUAACUCAAGACUGAAUUUUAUUUCAUUCUAAGAGGCUUAACUUGCUAAUUAACAAUACAAGUAAUACAUGAAUCAAUUCCAGCCUUGUUUGUGUCUAAUACCUGACUGUUAACUUAAGCAGUCCACUUGGGACUUUCGUCGAGCAUGUGGUGUGCAUGGUUUCAGUUUACUAGUGCCAUAGCAAUUUGCUUGUUUUAGAAAGCCAACUUUAUCAUCCUUAUUACUCCUCAGCCCAACUUAACUCCUUGUGCCUAGGUUCAGUCCAUACUAUCUUAGCCAUAGCAUAGCAGUCAACAACAACUUAAUAUAUCAACACCUAUCAUGUUAAUAGUCAAUUAUGAUAGCAAUAUAGCAUGUCAUUCAGUUAGAUCCUACGGCAGCUUGCAUAAUAGCUCAAAAAUCCAUAUAACAGUCCUUAUAGCAUUGUCAUAGCACAGUAAUGAAUUUAAGACAUAACAGUCUCUCAUGCCCAUUCCAAGCUUUUUAGGCAAGGUUUUGACAUUAAAUCACCAAAACAGCCAUGAGGUUUACAACCCAAAGGUUUCCACAUCCUGUUUAUGCUAUAUAAUAUAUGUUGAUGCUUUAAAGAGCCUACAUACCAGGCUUUUAACUUUAGUUAAACACAGCCUUUCAUAGGCUUCAAUUUAAUGCAAAAAGCAUGAUUCAGAAAAAUCUUAGUUACCAACACAACAUGAUUAAGUAACAGGUAAACCAAAAUUGGUUAUUUACAUAAUAUCUAGUAGGUAUUUCUUUCAUCCGGAUGGUCUAUUUUAGUUACUUCUUAGACAGUCCAAGACCACACCUCUUUAGACCUUAACAUAUUGUGAAACUUUAAAGUGUCCACAAGAGUAGCUUUUAAAGUUUGAGGUAGUUAUCCCCAGUUAUAAUGCAGUAAGUAUUCUACAGACACUUCAUAAAUAUCAUAAGAAAAGCUUCUAAUAUCAGUCAUAAGGAAGCUUACCAAUUCAGUCUAUUCUUACUUGCCUUGUCCAAGUGUUUAUCUAUCUUAGUUUGUCAUUUAUUUUGAGACAUGUUAAGGUCAAGCCUAGAGUAUACUUAUAAGCAAUUUGAUACUAGUUUGGAUUCUAAAUCAUGGUUAAUAUUCAAAGUUACAAAAUCAGGCCUUAGUUCGGCAAUUCAUCAAACAUGUAGAGGGCAGUGUAAAUUCUUGUACUUAAAACAUAAUUUCUAACCCUCUGCCCCCAGCCGUAUGGCUUAAACAAUAUCAAGCAUAAGACCAAACUUAUCAGUACCAAACCCAGCAGUUCAAAUACAUGAAAGCAGUCAUUAUAUUAAGUUACCAUAACAGUCAUACACGUUUUCUGGUCAUUGACAGUUCAGUUUGCUAAUUAAUUCAAUAGCCAUCCUGUUCAUUUAUCAGUUCAGUUGCUACCCGGAAUGGAAAGAUUAGAAAGGCCAGAAUUGGCUUACCUUGCUGAUUCGAAGGUGUCAAGUGGGUUGAGCUACUCAAUUCCUUUUCCCCUCUAGCCGAACUCUUCACUCUUGCUCUAUAUGACCGUUGCUGCUAAUUCUUUUGAACCCAGUUAAGUGAUGAGGCUAAUUGGUUUUGGGUAAUAACUUGGCCUUUUUAUGGCUGAGUUUAACUUCUUUACUGUGGAUCACAUCACCUCUAGUUGGCCCCUACCCAACCCUCAUCCUAGUCUAGCUUGCACAGCCCCCUUCUCAGCCACCAUAGGUUGUCUGCUACCUUAUCUUCUGCAAGACUACUGACCUGUUUUGUCUGCUAACCAAGUUCACUCACCUGCCAACCAAACUAACUUAGAGUCUGCAAAAUCUGCUAAUCACCUGACUAAUGUAACUAUCUCAGCUAACUACCUUCCUAUUUGGGCUGUUACAUGAAGCUUAAGGAAGGCUGGCUUUAAAUUGCUACUAGUAUUUGAACAAAGAUGAUAGAAAAAUCUAAUUCACACAUAUUAGAUAAGUAAUAGCUCUUUAUACCAAAUAAUAAAAGGUUUGCAAGCAUAUACUUGGGUUGGCCCAAGUUAAGAAUAGUGGUCUUUUACAGCAUGGGUCAAAAAAAAAAAAACCACUAUCACAAAUUUGCAAGUAUACUUAGUAUGGCCCAAAUAUUUUAAUAUGGGCUCUUAUUUUAAGACACAUGGACUUUAAUCUAUUAUAUUUUCUAGCAACAAUAGAUAGCCCAUAUAUCAUUAAAAUGACUAUUCUAUAUAAUCUUAAAUAAUUAAUGAUGACACAUAAUUUCUUUAUUCUUUAUAAUUCAAGAUGCUAAACAAACUAUUAAAUAAAUAAUAGUUUUAUCACAAUGAAAACUAACGUAGUUAAAAUAAUAAAAUAAAAAAAAAUUAUACUCAAAAAUUGACAUUAUAUUAAUUAAAUAAUACAUAGAAUUUUCUGAAUUAUUACAGAUACAAGACGAAAGGAGCAAGGUGUGAAUUCUGAGACACAAACACAAGUUUUCGUCGCGCAGAGUAGCGGCAGAAACAGAGAGAAGAGCUCUGAAGGUUAUCGACAUUGGAGAUAUUUAUCUGAAGAAUAACAAUGGUGGCAUGUUGAUACUUAGAGAAGUCAGACAUGUUCCGGAUAUCCGCCUUAAUUUGAUGUCUAUUGGUAAGCUUGAUGAGAAUGGUUAUAGCAUUUCCUUUGGUGAAGGUCAGUGGAAGCUCACUAAAGGGUCUCUAGUGGUGACUAAAGGAAAGAAGGUAGGCGCUUUUUACACAAUGCAUGCGCGUGUGGAAGGUGUUAAAGAUGGGGGAGUUAGGCGAAAAAAGAUGUGGUACAAAGCCAUGCAAGAUGGAAGAAAAGCCUUGCAUGAGAACCACGAGAAGAAAGCUCUUCACUUUAAAUGGGUACCAAAAGUGAAGAAGGAAAGUGAUAGCUAGCAGCCAGGGUACAAAACGGUUGUGAAAGAAUUUGACAAGCAAAAAUCUGUCAAGUAUGAGUUAGAUCCUCCCAUCAAGAAAAGUCAUGCCGAUGAGAUAAAGUCGGACGUGAAGAAAGUUAAAAAUUCCAAGAAGCUUGAGUUGAGUCAAGGCUUCGUUGGGAUUAACUCCAAGUGAGGAGUUGUGGUUUGACGUGCAAAUUCAGUCUUGCAAGGUUAUACAGAAGCAGAUAUAGCAGGUUUCGAAGAGAAGGAGUCUACUUCGGGGUAUUUGUUUACUUUUGCAGGGGGAGCCGUGUUAUGGCAGUCCAAGUUGCAGAAGUGUAUUGCUUUGUCUACUACUGAGUUGACAACGAAAUGUUGUGGUUUCUUCAAGAGUUGGAUUUGACACAGGAAUCGACUCCAAGUGACGGAGUCAUGGUAAAUACCUCCUCUAAUGGGUUCGGAGGGGGAGAUUGUUGGUAAACAUGCUAUCCUCACCCAUUAAUGCCCGCCCAUUGAAAUCCGCCUGGGUAUUUUCUUGACUCCCUCCCUCAGUUUGUGGCUAUAAAAGAAGACCAAAUGGAUGGAAGAUAAACACACCAAGAAAAACAUAUACUCUCAUCCGAGAGUUAGAAGAGAAAAGAGGGAGAGACAAGCUUUUGUGAAGCUUUAGAAAAAUAGAGAGAGAAAAAUAGUUCAAAUAAAAGGGUGUUUUAUUUGGGUUCCAUCACAUAAUUAUUGUGGUGAAGUAAUUUGAGUUUGUACUCAAAUUAAGAUAUCUUUGUACUCUCUCAUAUUAUUCUAGUGAAUUAUUCGGAGUUUGUCCCGUGGUUUUUACCACUUAGUUUUAGAGGGUUUUCCAUGUAAAAUCUUGGUGUCUCGUGGUUGGAUAUUUUUCUAUGUAUUAUUUCCUGCAUGGUUAUUAUUUUGGUAGAACUACAAAUUUAAUCUGCUUGGCAUGUGCUGAAAUUUUAUCCGUCUAAUUUAUCAAAGACAACAGUAUUUGGGAGGUGAUUUUUUUCCCAACAACUGGUAUCAGAGAUAAGGUUAUUUGCUCGGUUGUUUUUGAUAAAUUUUAUGGAGGAUUCAGUCGGAGCCAUGAUUAAAUUGACAUCUUCAAAAUUUUCAAUCUGGAAGCCUAGAAUGGAAGAUAUCCUUUAUUGCAAGGAUCUGUAUGAUCCGUUGGAGCUCAAGGGAAAGAAGCCCGCGGAUAAGUCUGAGGCUGAUUGGAAUAAAAUGAAUAGGAAGACUAUUGGUCACAUCCGGCAGUGGAUUGAUCAAAGUGUGUUCCACCAUGUUUCGCAGGAGACGGAUGCUCACACUUUAUGGACAACACUAGAGUCUAUGUACGAGAAGAAGAAUGCACAAAAUAAAACUUUUGUCAUUCGGAAAAUUAUGAAUUUAAAGUACAAGGACGGGAGCAGUGUGUCGGAGCAUAUGAGUGAGUUCCAAGGAUUGGUGAACCAGUUGUCCACCAUGAAGUUGAAUCUUGAUGAUGAGAUUCAGGCUCUUUUGCUUCUCAGUUCGUUGCCAAACAGCUGGGAGCCUUUGGUGGUGUCUCUAAGCAAUUCAGCUCCAGAAGGAAAAAUGACUAUACAGAUGGUUAAGGACAGUCUUCAUAAUGAGGAGACAAGACGAAAGGAGCAAGGUGUGAAUUCUGAGACACAAACACAAGUUUUCGUCGAUCAGAGUAGCGGCAGAAACAGAGAGAAGAGCUCUCCUGAAGAUGACAAAUCCAGGAGAAGGUUGAGAGGAAAAGAAAUAAUUUGCUUUCACUUCCAAAGACCGGGUCAUAUAAGGCGAGAGUGCAUAUUUUUAAAGAAGGAAAAGUCUAAGGAAAAAGAUGAGGAUAAAGACUCAAUUGUGUAUCUAUCCGACAUUGAUGUAGCCCUUGUUAGUGAUGGUAAACCCAAGUGUCAAGUUAAUGAAUGGGUUAUUGAUUCGGGUGCUUCGUUCCAUGCAACUUCGCGUGGUGAGAUCUUCACAUCCUACAUUAGUGGUGAUUUUGGCUAUGUACGGAUGGGAAAUGGUAGUGCAUCCAAGGUUAUCGGCAUUGGAGAUAUUUAUCUGAAGACUAACAAUGGUGGCAUGUUGAUACUUAGAGAAGUCAGACAUGUUCCGGAUAUCCGCCUUAAUUUGAUGUCUAUUGGUAAGCUUGAUGAGAAUGGUUAUAACAUUUCCUUUGGUGAAGGUCAGUGGAAGCUCACUAAAGGGUCUCUAGUGGUGACUAAAGGAAAGAAGGUAGGCGCUUUUUACACAAUGCAUGCACGUGUGGAAGGUGUUAAAGAUGGGGGAGUUAGGCGAAAAAAGAUGUGGUACAAAGCCAUGCAAGAUGGACGAAAGGUCUUGCAUGAGAAUCACGAAAAGAAAGCUCUUCACUUUAAAUGGGUACCAAAAGUGAAGAAGGAAAGUGAUAGCUCGCAGCUAGGGUACAAAACGGUUGUGAAAGAAUUUGACAAGCAAAAAUCUGUCAAGUUUGAGUUAGAUCCUCCCAUCAAGAAGAGUCAUGUCGAUGAGAUAAAGUCGGACGUGAAGAAAGUUGAAAAUUCCAAGAAGCUUGAGUUGAGUCAAGGCUUCGUUGGGAUUAACUCCAAGUGAGGAGUUGUGGUUUCACGUGCAAAUUAAGUCUUGGAAGGUUAUACAGAAGCAAACAUAGCAGGUUUCGAAGAGAAGGAGUCUACUUCGGGGUAUUUGUUUACUUUUGCAGGGGGAGCCGUGUUAUGGCAGUCCAAGUUGCAGAAGUGUAUUGCUUUGUCUACUACUAAGUUGACAACGAAAUGUUGUGGUUUCUUCAAGAGUUGGAUUUGACACAGGAAUCGUCUCUAAGUGAUGGAGUCAUGGUGAAUACCUCCUCUAAUGGGUUCGGAGGGGAAGAUUGUUGGUCAACAUGCUAUCCUCACCCAUUAAUCCCCGCCCAUUGAAAUCCGCCUGGGCAUUUUCUUGACUCCCUCCCUCAGUUUGUGGCUAUAAAAGAAGACCAAAUGGAUGGAAGAUAAACACACCAAGAAAAACAUAUACUCUCAUCCGAGAGUUAGAAGAGAAAAGAGGGAGAGACAAGCUUUUAUGAAGCUUUAGAAAAAUAGAGAGAGAAAGAUAGUUCAAAUAAAAUGGUGUUUUAUUUGGGUUCCAUCACAUAGUUAUUGUGGUGAAGUAAUUUGAGUUUGUACUCAAAUUAAGAUAUCUUUGUAUUCUCUCAUAGUUAUUGUAAUCUGUUACAAAAGAUAAAAGAAUUACAAAAAAGAAACUCAAAGAGUAAUUCUUUCAAAUAAAAUAACAUAUAGUUAGGAGGGUCAAUCGUAGCAAUAACGCCAAUGGACACCAAAGAAACUCCUGAAAUACAUUCAUAUCCCAAAAUAAUAAUAUAAUAAGUAGAUUCAAACUCUUUUUUAGUGUAGCAACGGAAGAACAAGUCGCAAUGGAAACACAACGUACAUCUAAAUCUGAAUAAUCCAUCUUCAACAAUUCAUGCACUGAAAAAAGUCUCACGAACAAAAAAAUCUUUUAAACAGUGAAAACAAAAUCUCUCAAAUGGAGAAUGAAAAAUCUCCCAUAAGAUGAUAAUGAAAUCUCCUUACAAAAGAGAAAGAAAUUAGUCAUCAUAUCUAAUGGAGAAAAAAAGUCUCACAGAAGGGAAAAACAAACUCUAAAAGAAGAGAAAAUAAUUUAUUAAAUCAAAAUAAGAGAGAUCUAAAGGAGGUAUCUCUAAAAGAAGAGCCCUCCAUCAGAUCUAAGAUAGAGGAUAUGGUUCUUGACUAGAGAGAAAAGAAAAAAGAGUGGAACUUAAUUUAUAUUAAUCAUUAAUUGAAUGUAUUGUAUCUUUAAUAAAAUAUACGUGCUAAAAUUUGUGGAAAAAAUAAAUUGGACUACCGAGUCAUCAAAGUUGGAUUGUCAAGUUGACUCGGGACCAACUAAAACGACUCAGUAUUUGCCUUGUUAUUUUUUGAUAUUGAUAAGUAGUUCGGACAAAUAAUAUUAUUUUUGUAAUAAAUAUUAAUAACCUAAUGAUGUUAAAAGUUGUGCACCCUCACUCACGGUAGACUUAUGGGGGCUAUGCAUGGACCCCACGUGCGAAAGUUUAUCGACAUGCGGGGAUCGUGGAUUGGGUCACGUGGGGUCUCGUGGCUCUUUUGUGUAGGGGUUACGAAUUUGGCCACGCGAAGCCUUGAUGCUUAGCCACGCGUGUGAUACCCCCAAAUUUGGGUUACCUUUACCUCAGGUUUGGUGCUCACGAUACUGACAUAUCCCAUCAUCCCAUCAUAAUACUAAUUUAAACUUGUCUUAGAUUACAUAUUAAUUUUAGCUGAAAUCACAGAUUCUACAGACCUUUACAUAAUACAACACCAAAUAAUAUUACAAGAAAUAAUAAUAAGGUAAUUAUUACAAUAACUCCUUAAGUUCAUAUAAGCACAUACGCUUAAUAAUUAUUUAUUAUGCCACUUUUCCUUUUCCUUUAUCUUUUCAACAUAAGGGUGAGCAAAAGCUUGCUCAACAAGGAAUAAACAGUUGAAUAUAAUGAAACAAAAAUAAAGGAAUUAAUUAAUGAGAUACUAAGCAAAACAGUCCUUUCAAAGUUGUGAGGCUUUAGCAUACUGUAAGGUCAAAUGACCAGUGAAAUCUGUAUUAGAAUUGGCAGUACUAAAACUGCAAUCUAUGUAUAUAAAUAGAUACUAAAAACUAAAUAUACCAUAGACUUGUACUUUAGGUGAUCAGCCCAAGUACCCUAUAUUGUGCAUUACAUAAUAGUCUAAUGACACAUUACAUGUCCUUCGGAAUCAUAUAUAUGUCCGGUAUCAUAUGCCCCUAUAAAAGGGUUGAUCGUUCACAACAUUAUAUAAGAGUCUGUACCACAAAAAAAUGGUUUGGAGAACAUUAAAUGAGAUUUUCAUGAAUGAAUAAUAUCAAUAUAUAUCAACAUUUGUCUAGCUAAAAUAAUGGCAUUUGCAUACCUUCAAUAUCAUAAGAAUAACUUAAUAUGAAGUAUAGGAAUUCAUUAAUUUCAAUAACUUGAAAAGAUAAACUUUCGAGUUAAGUACUUGCAAUAUAAACUUAUUUGAGUAAUAAAGGUUGAUGUACUUGCCUCUCGCGUCGAUUAAACUUUUUAAUAUGGUAUCUUGUCACUGAGUAGCCUACAUAUAUAUACAGUAUCGGCUUACUUAGUGAUCUUAUAGCAUAAAAUCUAUAUUUAUUGAUACACAUAGCUCAACUAUGGUUAUUGAAACUAUAUCCAAUAACUAACAUCAAACAAUCAUAUAGAUAACUUUUAUUUGCAAAUAUAUAGUUAAGCACACAUAGGCACUUAGCUUGUCACAAUACAUUUUCACAGCUUAGGAGGUAUACAAUAAUUUUACUUAAUUAGCUCACAUUGACAGAUAUCACAUAUUACUUUCAUACAUCCCAAAACAUACAAGUUUUAGUCCAAAUAUAACAUAAUAUAGAUCUUACAUCAUAAAACACCUUUAUUAUCUCAUUUAGUCAUGUUAAGACAUUUACAAGCUUUAAACUUUACUUUUACAACAUAACUCAAAAACACAAAAACAUGAUUUUUGAGGUACUUUUGGAGAUUUUUAGUAAUUUCUAUAGUAGCUUGUUGAAUCUCCCAUUUGAGCAAUCCUAUAGACCCUAUACCCAAAUAUUUUAUUCUUGGUUUAUGUAUUUAAAACUAUCAAGUUUAAGCAAUCAAAAAUAAGCCCCAAAUGGGCUAUUUUACUCCUUUUAUUACUUGGCCAAAUGUACAAUUUUUGAUUUUCAAGGCUACUUAGAUGAUUUUUAUGAAUUUUUGUAUUAAGCUUUUGAACAUUAAUUCUGGACAUAUUUCUAGACUAUAUACCAAAGUAUUUUUGUAUUGGUUUAGGUUCUCAAUGUAGCGCCCCAAAAUCCGACUCCCUUGAAUCUCAGACCUGGUGCGUCACGGUACAUCAUCUUCAUACAUAUUCUAUAAACUAAUGUGGAAUAUAUAUAUAUAUAUAUAUAUAUAUAUAUAAACAUAAAUUGUUCGUUUCAAAUGAUUUUACAACAUUUUCCAAGGUCUACAACCUUAACUCAAUACAUACCUUAUAAUUCAAAAAGUUUACAUAAUAAUUUGCAUAGGUAACAACGUAGUUAACCGUGUAUUAAACAACUCUUAAAUUCUUCCUUUGCCUUUGACCUUCUUGAAGCACCCGGGUUUAACUAAAAUGUUAUCAUGAUAUAGCAAUGGUGAGCAACUACUUUGCUCAAUAAGUUUAAAUACAAUAAAGAUACAUCAUGAUUGAAAGAAAGAAUAAGUAUUCGAAUUUUCAACAAUAUAUAAUGAUUGUGAAAGAGUAUGAAUCAAGUUUCAAUAAAUGAAUAUCUGAAUCAAUAACACUGAGUGGUUAACAAUGACCAUGAACAAAUACUUUGGUAAUGAAGGUGAUCAGCCCUUCAUACCCGAUAAACAUAUGCAACUUAUACUAAGUGCGAAUCAAUAAUCAUAGAUGUGUAAUAAUUAUCAAUAAUUAAACCACUAGCAUGCUUGAAACUCGAGUUUGAGUUAGGAAACUUGCCUUGUCUGUCGAUUACUGCUAUGCAAUCUAUUUUAAUCUCUUAUGAAAGACCUAUCAUAUAUAAGAUUGAUCUUUCAAUCAACAUAUCAUAUCAUACCUCAUAAUACCACUAUAUUUUAGAAAUAAAUCAUCUAACAUUUAACCAUAUAAUUAAAUAUUACACAACAACUUAAACCAUCAGUACUAUUAUCGUCCUUUGAUAAUAUUUCAAUCACUUUAUCAUCAUCUUAAAACUUUCGUUUAAUAUUAAUUUAAUAAUAUUUUAUUCAUUUCUUAAUAAUUACUUCAUAACAUUUUAAUUGUAUACAAAUAUUAUUAACCUUUUAAUAAUAUUUUAAUCAUUUACUAACAUCUUAAUCAUUUAUAAAUAUUAUUAAUCCUUUAAUAAUAUUUUAAUCACUUACUAAUAUUAUUAAUCAUUUAAUAAUAUUUUAUUCAGUUACAAUUAUUAUUAACCCUUUAAUAAUAAUAUUAAUCAUUUACAAAUAUUAUUAAUCCUUUAAUAUUAAUCUUAAUAAUUUACAAAUAUAAUUAAUCCUUUAAUAAUAUUUUAAUCAUCUAAUAUUAUUAAUUAUUUAAUAAUAUUUUAAUCAUUAUCUAAUAUUAUUAAUCACUUAAUAAUAUUUUAAUUUAACUUUAAUCUAAUAUUAUUAAUCAUUGAAUAAUAUUUUAAUUUACUUUAAUCUAAUAUUAUUAAUUAUUUAAUAAUAUUUUAAGCUAAAUAUUAUUAAUUACUUAAUAAUAUUUUAAUAUAAUAUUAUUAACCUUUUGAUAAUAUUUUAAUCAUUUCUUAUACUUAUAAACAAUUUAAUUAAUUAUUUAUCCUUUACUAUAACAUUUUUUUAACAAACCUAAAAUUUCAUAAAUAUAAAAUUUUAUUAAAAAUGACCAAAAUACCCUCUAAAAAUCUGAUUACCUUAUAUCAAGGGUCUUUGAUCAAAAAAUAUAUAUUUUUACCCUUUAUAACAUCACAUUACUUAUUUUAUUCAUUUAUUUAUAACUCAAUUAUUUAAAUAAAAAUACCAAAUCAGCUCAAAAAAUAUUUCUUUUCUGAGAAAUAUCAGUACAUGGUAUCAUGAUGAACAUAUAAUUGUUCUGGAAUUUUUGGAUUCCAUUUUCUAUUUUUAAAUGGUCCAAAACAGACAGAUCUUGUAACAAUUAUCAUAAACUGAGUUUUUGUCCAAAAAUUCCAAAACUUUCAAGGUAUGUUCUAAUUAUGUCUAUGUACUUCAUGUAAAGAUUUCAUAAUUUUUGGAGUUACACACUAAGAGUUUUUCCCUUUUACUUUUUAAGUAGUCAUUUCUCGUAAAAUCCAUAACUUUCAUCCUACAGAUCCAAAGAUUACCAUCAUUUUACUGAAAAUAGUUAACUCAUUAUAUUAUCAUCUCAAAUGUUUCCAAAAGUUUUAAAAUAAAAUAAACGAACGAAACUGCCCUUGCUAUGAACUGCCCAAAACAGUCCUUUUUUUGUAAAAUCUGGACAGUUUUUCUUAAAAUAGCUCCCAUGGCUUGAAAAUCAAUAUUUUUAGUGCUACCACUUGGGUUUUAAAUUUAACUUACAUAUCUAGCAUCCUUCUUUGACGGAUCAUAAAAAGGAUAUGUAAAUUUCAAAUGGUGGUUGAUCAAAGUGAAGAAAAGUUAGCGAACAUAGUUUUCAUUUUCUUCUUUUGAUCCAACUUUUUAACACUCAAAAUGAUUAGAUCCAUACAUGAAAUACUAGAAAACAUGUAAAUCAAGAGUUUUGGAGUUUUAGAAACAUAAGUUCAUGUUUUGAUUUUAAGCAACCAAAGUAAUUUACAUAAACUAGGUUAAGGUUUAUACCUUUAAUUCUUUGGGUUAUCCUUCUCCUUCUUCCUUCCAAGUGAGUUAUGAAGCUUUACAAAACUCCCUCCUCUUCCCUUUUCUAAGGCUCGUUAGCAGCCCCCCCUCUCUCUAUUAUAUUUUGAUUUUUGUUCUUAGCUUUUUGUGGAGAAAUGAAAUAAAAGGAAAUAAACUUUAAUUUGAUUUUGUUGAAAGUGAUGUUACUUGUAUUUAGUAUGUGUAGAUACAUCUUGUGUAUCUAAAAAAAAUCUCCCACAUAUCUCUUGUGACGCCCCCAAAAUAGGUAUACAUCACCCAUCUUGAGUCGCUAGAUACAUGGUACAAAAUUCAAAUAUAACUUAAUUAUACAACUGUCGUGUAAAAUACGACAAAACAUAUGUUAUGAGUUUUAAUACAAAUAUUGUCAUCUAGACAAUAUCCACACUCAAAUUCAAUCUUAUUAUAUUUACUAUCACACAAUUUCACAGAAUAGUGAGGACUACUAAUGCAACCAUCUGGACCGUCAAUUCAUUCCCCGACCAGUCCCAGCUAUAUUCUUAUUUCCUAAAGAGAAUAGUGAAAGAAAGAGUGAGCUCAACUAGCCAGUAAGAAAUAUUAUGACUAAGAUAAUGCAGAAUAAAUUAUCAUUUGCCUUCAACAGUAUAACAACUGAUAGAAUAUAAUAGACAACAAGGUUUAGAUCAACAACUGCAGCGGAAUAAGCAAUCCAUUAGAAGAGUCAAGUAGAGCAUAAAAUCUACUAUCUUCUAUGAUUUAAAAAGGUUUUCAUCAACUUUAUUGCUGAGACUCAGCUUAAUAAAUAAACUACAUCAUCGAAUCAUCCCUGCACCACGGCCAAGGAUAUUCAUGUAAUCAUCAAUGGUCAUGAUUAUACCGGAUAAUCCUUGGUCAUAAUCAUACCAACAACUGUCCAUCAAUGCACUACAGGCUAAUAAAGACUUUCACCAUAUCAUUCGUCACAUUACGGUCAUUAUUAUACUAAAAAAUCCCUGAUCAUAAUCAUACCAAGUCCAUCUAUGCACGUAAGCCAAAGAUGACUUUCAUCACAAUAUAAGCAUGGGGAUGAUAACAAUGACAUAAUAAUUCAAUAAAACAAGUUCAAGGAUAAAUUUUAAAGAUUUAUAAUUUAAUUUAUCCAGGAAUCAAUAACGUCCAAUUUGUCAACAUGAUACUGCUUUGUGGAGUAAAAUUCAAGAAUAAUAUUGUACCCAAAAAUGAUUUGGACCGAAAAGAAAUAUAUUUUUCGGGUGAAUAGUACCCCGUAAAUAGUACUUCGGGAAUAGUACCCCGUGAAUAGUAUCCCGACACGAAAAGUAUCCCAAAUACCCGAGUGAAUAAUAUUAGAGUGAAUAGUAAUCGGGUGAAUAGUAACCCAUGAAUAGUACUUCGGCACGAAAAGUACUCCGAAUACCCGAGUGAACAAUACUAGAGUGAAUAGUAAUCGGGUGAAUAGUAACCCAUGAAUUGUAACUCGUAAAAAAAAAACCAAAUAAAAUGAUAUUCCAUGACGAGUACAAAAGAAAUGAUGUCUCAUACGAGUAUAAUAGAAUAUACAAAACUGCAAAUGAAUUUUCACCCGCCAUGUGGUAAUCCACGCAGAUAGAUCAUUUCCACAAUUUAAUAAAGAAUGAAUACGAAGAGUCAUUCACCAUGCAUAUGGUAAUCCACAUAGACAGGUUAUUCCAACAGAAUAAUAAAGAAUGGAAUAACAGAAGAAUUCACCAUGCAUGCGAUAGACCGCACAGACAGGAUAUUCCAACAGAAUAAUAAAGAAUAGAACCAGGUCAUGCGUAAUCCGCACAGACAGGAUAUUCCAAUAGAAUAAUAAAGAAUGGAACUAGGUCAUGUGUAAUCCGCACAUUCAAGAUAUUCCAGCAGAAUAAUAAAGAAUGGAAUAACAACAGAAAUCACCAGGCAUGCGAUAGACCGUAUAGACAGAUUAUUCCAACAGAAUAAUAAAGAAUGGAACCAGGUCAUGCGUAAUCCGCACAAACAGGAUAUUCCAGCAAAAUAAUAAAGAAUGAAAUAACAACAGAAUUCACCAGGCAUGCGAUAGACCGCAUAGACAGGUUAUUCCAACAGAAUAAUAAAGAAUGGAAUAACAGAAGAAUUUCACCAUGUAUGCGGUACUUCGCAUAGACGGGUUAUUCCAACAUAAUAAAGAAUGGAAUAACAACCCUUACGAGUAUUGAAAGAAAAUAACUCUCUUUAUGAAUACGAAAGAAUAAUACCCCUUACCUUAGAAGAAACUGGAUACUGGAAUAGUGAGGUAGCAGACUUCUCUUCUUCUUUUUCUCUAUAAUAAUUGCUCUAUAGCUUUAGUGAAUUGGUGAAAAAUAAUAAAGGAAUGAGCUUCUAUUUAUAGGAAAAUAUAGUUUCAAUAAUUGCACGUUUUGGGGCUCGAAAUAUUUCAGUAUAAUACCUUCCUCUUUUUCUUCAUUUUUAAUUUAAUCCUGCAAGUAUUUUCAAACUUGCACCACCUCCCCUAAUAAUAUAUCAUAUUAUGCAGAUGCUAUGUGACAAUAAUUGAAUCAAUAAUAUGAGAGAUAUGAUGCAGCAAUUACUGUAGAAAUAAUUGAGUAUAACUGAGUGACUUCUUACGUAAGCAUCAAUAAUCAAUACCGUGUGUUACUAUGCAACCACGCGUAUUACUGUACUUUUAUUCGUCGUUUAUAAAAUGAUAAUUCUAUCAUUUCUUAACUACGACAAUACUUCCAUUGUGGGGUAUACCAAUGAUUGUGCCGUCGUACGGAUAUUCCCCGACAAAAAAAAUAUUCCCCGACCAAACAAAUAUUUUAUAACAACUUGCUUACUUUAUAAAAUUUAUAAAUAUUACCCACAACUAUAACAUUAUAUCAAAUCCACACCAUAAUAUUCAAAAAAAUAUUUCGAGAAAUUUAAAUCUUUAUUCAUAAAAUUUGGAGUCUCACAUCUCUCAUUCUCUCUCUUAUCUCUUCUCCAUUUUGCUUGUAAACUUGGUUAAAGUAGGUGGCCAAAUAGGAUUGUGACACCUAGUUUGUGUGUGGAAGUAACUUUGACAAAAUGAAUAAAUCACAUGGUCUUAUCUCCUUGUGUUGGCCAGAUUCUUCCCCCCNNNNNNNNNNNNNNNNNNNNNNNNNNNNNNNNNNNNNNNNNNNNNNNNNNNNNNNNNNNNNNNNNNNNNNNNNNNNNNNNNNNNNNNNNNNNNNNNNNNNUUGCUUAAUCAAAUGACUUAAAAGUCCCUCAUUAUAAAAUGGAAAAAAUGGUCAUUCCACCAUAUCUAGGAAAUUUCCUAGAAAUUUUCUUAUAGGACAUAUUCAUCAUUAAUAAUUUUUAUCAAGGGUAUAAUGAUUAUUUGGCCAUUUGCUAGGAAACUUCCUAGAAAUUUCCCUCUAGGAUACAAGGGUCAUUAGUGAGAUUCUUCAAAAGCAAUUUGGUCAUUUAAUCAUUCAAUAGGAAAUUUCCUAGAACACUAUAGUUAUUAAUAAUUCUCUUGGGGUAAAAUAGUCAUUUCCUCAUUACUAGGAAACUUCCUAGCAAUUUCCUCCUAGGACUCAUUGGUCAUUAGUAUCUUUCUCCAAGGGCAAAAGAGUCAACACACCAUUGCUAAGAAACUUCCUAGCAAUUUCGUCCUCGAAGGCAUGUUGGUCAUAAGUCAUUUUCAUUAAGGGUAACAUAGUCAUUUCCCACAAUUUCCUACAUUUAACUCAAGUAUGGUUAGUUCCUAACCAUAAUUAUUCUACUAACACAUGUCCCAUUAUUAGUUGGACCAACACUUGGGCUUCCACUUAGUUUUUUGGGCUCUCUAAUUAAAAUAAUUGGGCCAAGUGAAUUUUCAUGGUCCACUACCUUAAUUUUAUCUUACCCUAAUUAUUUAAUUAGGGUCUCCAUUUCACUCCUUUGAAAUUUAAAUAAUUACUCAUGUACAUAUAAUUUUAUAACCCAAUUAGACUUGCGUUUCUUUUUUUUUUCUCUUUAUAUAAUAAAUAAAUAUAUAUACAUAUUAUAUAUAUAUAUAUAUAUAUAUAUAUAUAUAUAUUUAAUCACAUACAUAGUCCACACAAGUCACAAAGUAUUUAAUGAAUGGAUAAAUAAUUAAUGUAACCUAAUAUUCUUGUAUGAUUAAUUUAAUUAAUCAUUUCUCUUGCUAAAAUAUAUAUAACAUAUCACUAAGUAUAUAUGUACCUAAACAUAUACACAUUCACUUAAUAAUUUUUCCUUAUACAUUAUUAUACAAUCUCUUUCACUAUUUAAUUCACAUAAAUUUUAAAGCUAUCAUAAUACCUUAUUCUUAAUAUACCUCCAAGUAUAAUUCUAUUCUAGGUUUUGAAUUUUUAUAACCCAUAUUUUCUCACUUUUACUCUUUAUCUUCUCAUUUCUUUCAUUCACAUUUAAUUUCUUUGCAUUGCUUAAAAAUUUCAAACCAUAUAGGUUUUUCUCAAAUUUUUUUAAUUAUUCCUCUAUUUCAAGUCUAGGUUUUAUUGUUUAACCUUUAAUUUAUAAGAUUAUUUAUUCGUUCAAGAUAUCUUAUAAAUUUUCCGGUUGUCACACUUAAGCAAGAUUUUUGAGCUUCUUGAAAUUGAUGCACAAAAUAGGUGGUUCAACACAGUUUCUAGUUUUAUUAACUUUGGUCAAUUCUUGCCAAUUUCAUUUCUGGUCUCUUGGGUUCAUUCCAACACUUGAAUUAUUACUAAUUAAGACUAUUUUAAGUAUUUCCUUGACUUUUUAAGCAUAAAUUUUGUUUUGACCAUUUAAACCCAACUUUUUCAAACUUUUACAUAUUAAUUUCUCAAAUUCUUGUAUACAUUAGCAUUCCAACACUUGGAAUAGCCUAGCAUAACUCUAAAUCACUUGUCUAAGGUGUCAAAACUGAGUUUUAAGCAAAAUGGCAAAAUCUAAUUUCACACUAAGAAAAAUAUCCAAAAAUUGUAGUUUGAGUGAUUUUAUAGGCUAGUUUGUUGAUUUGUUUGAAUUUUUGGGUUAAGGUCUUGGCUCAACCAUUUGGCCCUGCUUCUAGACCAUACAUCAAGGUAUUUUAAUCAAGGUUUAGGUUUCUUAUUCAUUUCAUUUAAGCUUCUCAAAACAGUGCCUCAAACUAGUCUGUUUUCUUAACUUUUUGCAAAAACUGCUUUUAACAGUACUUUAUCAUUUUUUUUCCAGUUUUGGUAACUUGGAUAGUCUAGGCAUGUGUAUUUUAGUUUCCUAAGGUUAUUUUUAUCAUUAUCUCACUUUGUUUAGUGUUUUAACCAAUUUUGACCUAUCAAAGCUCACUUUAGGCUUGAAAAAUAGAUCCUAACUUUGUUUUCUUACUAGCUUUGGUUAUGGCAAUGAGUAGUAAUCAUCACAAGCUUGAAUUAGGAACUUCAUAUGAGUUCGUUACAAUCUUAUAAGACCAGGUACUGAAAAUUUCCCAAAACAGUCCACUUUUGGGCUUAAAAUGUGUUUUUUCACAAGUCUAAUGCUCAAAACAGUUUAGGCUUAGUUUCUUUAGCUUGAGUAGUUUACUUAUGCCAUAUUAUAACUAUUAAAACAUGCAUACAUGGUCCAGGUAUUGUAAUUCUAUAGUUGAGUGUUAUUUGACACUUAAUUAAAGCUUAUUUUCAUAGCUUUUAAACUUAAUUUUUUAAUACUACUCAACCUAGAUCCUAACUAACUUAAAGAACAACUUUUAAAUACCUUUUAUGAAAAUAUUAUGGUCUCCUUACUGACUAACAAAUCCAGGUACUGGUUUUGGCUAUGACAGUUCUCUAAUCUAAAGUUUAAGCACAGAUUUGGCCAAUAACCAUAAACAGUCCCAAGCUUUAAUUCAAGGGACUUCUUAAGCAUUCAUAUAAACUUAAAACAUCAUUAUUACAUUCAUUACAUGCUUGUAAUAGUUAGUUGUCUUUCUACUAUCCAAAACAGUCCAUUUAAAGCAUUUUGAGCAUGGUUUAACACUAAAUUAUCUCAACAGUCCCCAAGCCUUCAAUUAUAAUUAUUAUCACCUCAUAUAAUUGCUAUAUACUUUGUAUUCAUGGUUUAAAACUCAAGGGUGCAAGGUUUUAAGUUCUUCGUUCAAAACAACCCUUAAUAGGCUUUAAAUUCUAUAAGAACAUGGUUUAGCAACAUGGUCAACAAUGUUAGCAUGAUUAUGCAACAUAUAUAAGCUUUGACAAAUCUUUUACAUAACCUUUAUCAUGCAUAGCUUUGAUCCUGGUGGCACCAAGCAGUUUACACCCUUCACAGACCUCAAAUAGACAUUCCAGCUAGCUUUCAUGCACACCAAAAUAGUGGCCUGGUUUGGCCUGAUUCAACAGGCCCAAACUGCCAUGUUUUGGCUCUUUUAUCACUUGACAAGGUUACAUAAUUACACUACCAUUAUCCUUCAAGGUUCAGUACAUUUAGACACCAUGUAUAGCAUGAACAUAUCCUUAGAAGUAGGGCAAAUCAAUCAUAUAUGAGCCCCUAAUUAACAGUCCAAAUCUACUUUGUUUUUUUCAUUAACAAAGCUAAAGGUAUACAAGGAACUUUAAAACAUGUUAUACUUAUGUAUAGAGCAUACUGGCUUUUAAAGCUUACUUUACAUAGCAUAUAUACACAUGAAGCUCAAUAAGUUUGCUAGUUGAUGACUUUUCUGCACUUUUGCUACCAUUUCUAGCAUAUUUUUAGGUCACAAUAUAAGCUUCUAACCAUCUAAUAUGGACAGGUUUAAUAGAUGGCUAUAGUAGUCCCAAACUUGGAUUUCUAAGCAUGGAUUCGGCAUACUAACUCAAAACAGCCUCAAGUUUAGUUAAGAUGAAUGUUGAAGCACCUUUGGAACAUGUAAUUGUUAAGAGAUAUGCAUAGCUGAAGUUUAAUCAAUUAUUAGCUAACACAAAACAACCCUCUUUUUACUUAAAUUUUAAGCAUGAAACCACUUAGCUAAUCAAGUUACUCAUAUUCAUUAUCAUAGCAUAUGAACAUGAUUUUGGAGUUGUUUGCAUAGCUAACAUGCCUUUAGCACAACACAGUCAAUACUUAGGCAUUUUAUCAAACAUAUAGGGUGCAGUCCAUAUAUAUAUACACGUAUAGUACGUAUAUUUCUAGUUCUUCAACCCCAGCCUCAUGGCUUUAAAACAAUAACCAAGACAACAAUCAUAAUACCAAUAACAACCAACACAGCUAUGCUAAUUAAAUAACAGUCUGCAUAUUAUUUAUUCAAUGCAAUAACCCAUAAUCAUUGUAACUGUCCAUAAUCAAGCUACCCGACCACUAACAAUUUAUUCUACCAUCAAAAUGAAUAGAAAAGGAAUGAAAAUGGCCUGAGUUGGAUUACCUUGCUGGGAUUCUAAAAAUUUAUGGUGCUGGGCUGCUCCAUUCUUCUUACUUCCCAGCCGGAGAUCUCCAUUUUUUUCUCUUAACUGCUAUUAUUUUUGGAACUCUGAUUAGUGAUGAAGUUAAUUGAUUUCAAGUAAUGUGCUUGGCCAUAUAUGAUUGAGCUUCUAUCAAUCAUCAUCACUCUCUUGUCUGCUAUCUCUUGGCCUCUACCCGGCCCUUACACUGUACCCUACUAUUCUCACCUGACAAGUAUAUUAGCUGCUGCAAUGGCCCCUAUCCAGCCACCUAUCUUGGCCUCUAUAAGGCUUAUAUAUGUGAUAUUUCCCUUUUGCAGACUACUUGCCCCCUAAACCUCUAGCCUUAUCCCAGACACUCUACACCUUAUCCUCAACCAUCCUACAAGUCCCUAGCCUCUAACUGGGUUGUUAACUAACUGUUUAG